rnacentral:rRNA from 1 species
UACGUAGGGUGCAAGCGUUGUCCGGAAUUAUUGGGCGUAAAGAGCUCGUAGGCGGUCUGUCGCGUCGGUUGUGAAAUCCCGGAGCUCAACUCCGGGACUGCAGUCGAUACUGGCAAGCUGGAGUACUGCAGGGGAGACUGGAAUUCCUGGUGUAGCGGUGAAAUGCGCAGAGAUCAGGAGGAACACCGGUGGCGAAGGCGGGUCUCUGGGCAGUCACUGACGCUGAGGAGCGAAAGCGUGGGGAGCGAACAGG